rnacentral:rRNA from 1 species
AUGCUUAACACAUGCAAGUCGAACGGUAGCAGGCCUUCGGGCGCUGACGAGUGGCGGACGGGUGAGUAACGCGUAGGAAUCUGCCUCAUAGUGGGGGACAACGUGGGGAAACCCACGCUAAUACCGCAUACGCCCUACGGGGGAAAGCGGGGGAUCUUCGGACCUCGCGCUAUGAGAUGAGCCUGCGUUAGAUUAGCUAGUUGGUAGGGUAAAGGCCUACCAAGGCGACGAUCUAUAGCUGGUCUGAGAGGACGAUCAGCCACACUGGGACUGAGACACGGCCCAGACUCCUACGGGAGGCAGCAGUGGGGAAUAUUGGACAAUGGGCGAAAGCCUGAUCCAGCAAUACCGCGUGUGUGAAGAAGGCCUUAGGGUUGUAAAGCACUUUCAAUUGGGAGGAAAACCUGCCGGUCAAUACCCGGUAGCUUGACAUUACCUUUAGAAGAAGCACCGGCUAACUCCGUGCCAGCAGCCGCGGUAAUACGGAGGGUGCGAGCGUUAAUCGGAAUUACUGGGCGUAAAGCGUGCGUAGGCGGUUCGUUAAGUCAGAUGUGAAAGCCCCGGGCUCAACCUGGGAACUGCAUUUGAAACUGGCGGACUAGAGUUUAGUAGAGGGGAGUGGAAUUUCAGGUGUAGCGGUGAAAUGCGUAGAUAUCUGAAGGAACACCAGUGG